rnacentral:lncRNA from 1 species
UUGUUCAUAUCAAUAACAAGGACAAUAUCACAAUCCAAAGGCAUACCAAGCAAAUCCGUAGGGAACACAUCCAUGAACUCAUGGACAGUUUAAACAAAAUACAAAGAAAGAGGUAAAGCAACACUAGUAUCACGAAUAUGAGCCAAAUAAGACAAACAUCCCUUGUCAACUAAUCGAUGAGCCUGGAGAAAAGAUAUUACACUCUUGGGACCUGAAUGAAGCACCACCUUCC